rnacentral:rRNA from 1 species
AGAGACAGCAGCAGCCGCGGUAAUACGAAGGGGGCUAGCGUUGUUCGGAUUUACUGGGCGUAAAGCGCACGUAGGCGGGCUUUUAAGUCAGGGGUGAAAUCCCGGGGCUCAACCCCGGAACUGCCUUUGAUACUGGAAGUCUUGAGUAUGGAAGAGGUGAGUGGAAUUCCGAGUGUAGAGGUGAAAUUCGUAGAUAUUCGGAGGAACACCAGUGGCGAAGGCGGCUCACUGGUCCAUUACUGACGCUGAGGUGCGAAAGCGUGGGGAGCAAACAGGAUUAGAUACCCCUGUAGUCCCUGUCUCUUAUAC